ensembl:snRNA U6 U6 spliceosomal RNA
GUGCUCACUUUGCCAGCACAUAUACUAAACUCAGAAUGAUACAUAGGUUAGCUUGACCCCUGUGAAAGAAUGAUGUGCAAAUCUGUGAAGCACUCUAUGUUUUA